rnacentral:rRNA from 1 species
UACGUAGGGUGCGAGCGUUGUCCGGAAUUACUGGGCGUAAAGAGCUCGUAGGUGGUUUGUCGCGUUGUUCGUGAAAACCGGGGGCUUAACCCUCGGCGUGCGGGCGAUACGGGCAGACUUGAGUACUGCAGGGGAGACUGGAAUUCCUGGUGUAGCGGUGGAAUGCGCAGAUAUCAGGAGGAACACCGGUGGCGAAGGCGGGUCUCUGGACAGUAACUGACGCUGAGGAGCGAAGGCGUGGGGAGCGAACAGG